UUAGAGUUGAUUCCUGGUUCAGGAUGAACGCUGGCGGCGUGCCUAACACAUGCAAGUCGAGCGAUUUUCUUCGGGAAGAGAGCGGCGGACGGGUGAGUAACGCGUGGGUAACCUGCCUCAUACACAUGGAUUAACAUACCGAAAGGUAUGCUAAUACAAGAUGAUAUAAGAGAUUCGCAUGGAUUUCUUAUCAAAGCUCCGGCGGUAUGAGAUGGACCCGCGUCUGAUUAGCUAGUUGGUAAGGUAACGGCUUACCAAGGCGACGAUCAGUAGCCGACCUGAGAGGGUGAUCGGCCACAUUGGAACUGAGACACGGUCCAAACUCCUACGGGAGGCAGCAGUGGGGAAUAUUGCACAAUGGGCGAAAGCCUGAUGCAGCAACGCCGCGUGAGCGAUGAAGGCCUUCGGGUCGUAAAGCUCUGUCCUCAAGGAAGAUAAUGACGGUACUUGAGGAGGAAGCCCCGGCUAACUACGUGCCAGCAGCCGCGGUAAUACGUAGGGGGCUAGCGUUAUCCGGAUUUACUGGGCGUAAAGGGUGCGUAGGUGGUUUCUUAAGUCAGGAGUGAAAGGCUACGGCUCAACCGUAGUAAGCUCUUGAAACUGGGAAACUUGAGUGCAGGAGAGGAAAGUGGAAUUCCUAGUGUAGCGGUGAAAUGCGUAGAUAUUAGGAGGAACACCAGUAGCGAAGGCGGCUUUCUGGACUGUAACUGACACUGAGGCACGAAAGCGUGGGGAGCAAACAGGAUUAGAUACCCUGGUAGUCCACGCCGUAAACGACGAGUACUAGGUGUCGGGGGUUACCCCCCUCGGUGCCGCAGCUAACGCAUUAA
rnacentral:rRNA from 1 species